rnacentral:rRNA from 1 species
UGAGUAAUACGUAUCCAACCUGCCGUCUACUCUUGGCCAGCCUUCUGAAAGGAAGAUUAAUCCAGGAUGGCAUCAUGAGUUCACAUGUCCGCAUGAUUAAAGGUAUUUUCCGGUAGACGAUGGGGAUGCGUUCCAUUAGAUAGUAGGCGGGGUAACGGCCCACCUAGUCAACGAUGGAUAGGGGUUCUGAGAGGAAGGUCCCCCACAUUGGGACUGAGACACGGUCCAA